GAGUAGUACCGCCCACUCAGUGGUCUGCUGGGUGCUGCGCUGCACCGUGUCAAACAUACCACCAACCUACGGGGAAAAGACAGAAUAAUGCUCACAACAUGUUUAAGAAAAACUAAUGCUGGAUUCACAAACAAUAAGAGCCAAGGUGCUGUCCUUUCUCCAGCUCCUCUCCGGCUGCCUUCAGCACAUGGCCUUGGACUGAAGUGGGCAGCUUGGCUAUUAGUGGAGCCACCAGCCAAACUCCUGACCGCUCGGACGAGCUGCAGAUAAGGAUGCGCUUGAUCCUCUGCCUCUGAGGGUUGUCACCAUCGUCACUGUCUAACUGGCGGUGAGGGUAGCAAAUAAGCUGCAGUAGCCGCUGGGCCUGAAUGUUUACCAGCACUGGGUCCUGGAGGGCACUG